CGCGUAAUUAGCAACUCGGUGCUUCUUAGCAACAAGGGAACAUGGAGGACGAGAAAACCGCAGAAGGGGGGCAGGGAGAUAGCCCAGCAGAGAAAAAAGAACCCGAGGAAAGUGAGAAAGUGGAACCUCCUAUUCAAAAUACAGAACAGGCAAAAGAUGAUGCUCCAAAAGAGGAAGAAAAGAAGAGUGAGGAGGUAAAAUCCUCUGAGGAGAAGGAGCCAGGAUCAGAGCCUCCUCCAGAAAAGGCUGAAGAGAAGGUUGAGGAGACUCAAGGAGGAACAAAAGAGGAGGAAAAGAAAGAGUCAGAGGGAGAGAAAAAGGAAGAAGAGCAAGCACCCCAAGAAUCUGAAAGUAAGGCCGAUGACACUACGAAGAAGGCUGAAGAGGAAGGCCAAGAUAAACCCUCAGAGGAAAAGAAAGAAGAGGGGGAGGAAAAGAAAGCAGAAGGAGAAGAAAAGAAAGUAGAAGGAGAAGAAAAGAAAGUUGAGGGAGAAGAAAAGAAAGAAGAAGGAGAAGAAAAGAAAGUUGAGGGAGAAGAGAAGAAAGAGUCAGAGGGAGAGGAAAAGAAAGCUGAUGGGGAAGAGAAAAAGGCAGAAGGAGAAGAAAAGAAGGCAGAAGGAGAAGAAAAGAAAGCAGAAGGGGAAGAAAAGAAAGCAGAAGGGGAGGAAAAGAAAGUUGAAGAUGAAAAAUCCGAAGAGAAAUCCAAAGAUGCAGCAGAAGGGGAUAAAAAUCAAAAUGCUGCAGAAGAGGAAGAAAAUGAUGAAGAGGAGAAGAAACUUAAAAAAGCAGAAGAGGAGAUAAAGAAGAUUCCUGAUGACUUUUUCUAUAACUACGAGGAAAUGAUAUCUCAGCCACAUAUAACACAAGAUUCAGGCUUACCAAAGGAUUACCUAAAUCUCAUAUAUUCUUUUGGUUAUGACUGUACAAAGCGCCACAACCUUCAUCUUUUGGAUGAGAGAACCGUCUGCUUUGCUGCAGGUAACUAUGUGAUGCUUUUGGACCUACAGACAAAGGAGCAGAGAUACCUACGAAGCACCAGUGGAGGCGGUAUUGGGGCCAUUACAGUUCAUCCUUUAAAGAAAUAUUUUGCUGUGGCUGAAAAAGGAAUUUCACCAAACAUCAAUGUUUUUGAAUAUCCGUCAUUAAAACUGCAUCGAAUUCUUCGUGGUGGAACAGAGCGAUCAUACUCCUAUGUCGAUUUUAAUCCUAAAGGUGAUUUGCUGGCUUCGGUUGGAGGAGACCCUGAUUACAUGCUAACCAUCUGGGACUGGAAAGAGGAGCAGACCGUAUUGAGGUCAAAGGCCUUCUCACAGGAAGUGUUUCGUGUGACCUUCUCAACAGAGUUGGAGGGUCAGUUGACCACAUCUGGUACUGGACAUAUCAGAUUUUGGAAAAUGGCUGAUACUUUCACUGGAUUAAAACUUCAAGGAGAACUAGGAAAGUUUGGAAAAACUGAGAUUUCAGACAUUGAAGGCUAUGUGGAGCUCCCUGAUGGUAAAGUCUUGUCUGGAACAGAGACAGGAAACAUGCUCUUGUGGGAAGGAGGCUUGAUUAAAGUGGAGAUAGGACGCAAGGGAAAGAAACUGUGUCAUCAGGGAUCCAUUCAGCAAAUCCUUCUGGAUGAGGGAGAGUUGAUGACCGUGGGCUCUGAUGGAUUUAUUAGGGUUUGGGAUUUUGAAAGUGUAGACACUGCUGAUGUAGCAGAUGAGUCCGGACUUUUUGAGAUGGAGCCAAUGAAUGAGCUACGUGUUGGCCAUGAUGUCCAACUGAAGUCCAUACUCAAGUCCACUGAUGCAGAAAAUGAGGUCACCAUAUGGUAUGCUCAGGAUGCCAAUGGUGGUAUAUGGAAGCUGGAUCUGACUUUCUCCCACACCUCCCAAGCCCCAGACAAGCUCUUCACCUACCAUGCUGGAGCCAUCACUGGGUGUGAUGUGUCCCCACUCACUCAUCUAGUUGCCACCACUGGCGUUGAUCAUACUGUCCGAGUGUUUGAUUUCCUUCAAAAGAAGCAGUUAUGUGAGAAGAGGUUCCCUGAUGCUGGUACCACCCUGAUUUGGGCCCCACAAAUUGUUGAUACCAAGGGCAAGACGAUCAUCUCUGGGUUCAGUGAUGGUGUGGUCAGGGUAAUGACCAUUGCCAAGGCUGGUGAGGACCAAGCCCACAAAAAACACAAGCAUGACAUUGACCUUGACCUCAAGCAGGUCUUCAAACCCCACACUAAGGAAGUGACCUCCAUAGCUGUCAAUGACAAAGGGGAAAUUCUUGCCACAGCGGGUGCAGACAAUACUAUAUUUUUCUUGAACAUUGGAGAAACCUAUGAACCCAUUGGAUUUAUUGAGACCCCUUCAUCAGUGAGACAAAUUCAGUGGUCUCCCUCCAAAUUUAAAAAAUCCACCCUUCUUGCAUUUUGUGAAGGUGGACUAGUCUUAGAGAUCGACUCUCCAGAUGGUGCCAAAUUUGAUACAUCUAAAACUUUCCACAUCACCGGCUUACCCAUGAGAUCCUUCAAGUUCAAAAGCAUCAAGUCACGGCUAAGACAUGAAGAAGAAUUGGAAAGGAAGAGAAUUGAGGAGCUGGAGAGGAAAAAGAGAGAGGAGGAAGAAAGAAGAAAGAGGAUAGAGAGAGGACUCGAGACAGAGUCUGAACAGGGAGAUGUGGAAGAAGAGAAGAAAACUCCAGAACCAGAAUGGAAAGCAUACAUCCCACCAGAGCCUAGUCCAAUAUUGACUGGCUUCUACUCUGAUGAGGGACAGUUCUGGCUUUCAAUGGGAGAAUUUGAUGCUGGUUAUCUAUAUGAGUGUAAGUUUAUGUCUGAAGAAGAAAGAUCCAAAUUGCCAGAAGAGCUCCAAGAUGAACCUUUGCAAUCAGUAGCUGUGACAGAGUCCAAUGAUGUUCCAAUUACAUUCAUGCAGUUCAGUGGAAAUGGCCGAAAAAUGUUGUUUGGUAUGGAGGAUGGUAGUAUUAGAAUCCAGAAUCUUGAAAAAGAUUUUUCACUGGAUGAACUAGGUUCUUACUGGCAGUUGAAUUUGCACGAUAAUAACUAUGGACGCAUCGUCAAAGUGGCAGCCAGCCCUGAUGAGAAGAUGCUCCUAUCAGCCGGCUAUGAUGGCAACUUUUUCCUGUAUGACAUUAUGGAUCAAGAGAAAGUGGACCAAAAAGUAGCAGAGGCCAAAGCCAAACUUCCCUCAGCAAAGAAAGCUGGAGAAAUAGUCAAUGUUGAUGAUAUUGAGGAUCCAAAUGCAUACAGCAUUGAAGAUGCAAAACAAAAGGCAGAGCAUGAUAAAAUGAUGAAGAUAGCAGAUGAGAAGAAGAAAGAUGUCCGUCGUCAGAUAGCCAAGCUUAGGCGGCAGUUCAAGAGUAUACUGGAACAAAAUGAAGGGUUACCGCCCCACUUACAACUACGGAAGGAGGAGUUUGAGCUAGACAAAGACAUCAAACUGGAGCUAGAUAAACAGAAACAUGAUAGAAUUGAUAUUGUAAGGAAAGAGUUGGCCUGGGAGGCAGAGAAACAAAGGAUAGCACUGGAAAAACUCAGAAAGAGGUAUAAGGAUGUAGUUGAGUGUGAGAGGAUAGUUGUGAAGGCCUUUAAAACUCCACAUGAAGUGGCCAGCUUCAGAGCAGCCAAACUGUCAGAUGACUUCUACCAAAUGAAAGCUGAUUUUGAGAGAAGGAAAACAAUGACAAUGGUGAAGGAUGACAUCACAAGGGACCCCACCAGGGACUUGCUCGGAGGGAAAUCCACACACACAGAUGACCACACCGAGGCUGGUGGAAAAGCAGGGGAUCAGGCUGGAGCCAAAGUCACAACGACCCUGAAAGGUAGUAUGGGCGAAAGGAUCAAUAAAGCCCUGUACAAAGUGGAGGAGAAGAAACAAAAGAGGGCGGCAAGGAGAGCACAGUGGGAAGAAUUGUACAAUACAAAACCUGAUGAUGACUAUGAGGACCCAGCUGAUGUUGCAGCCAUCAAAGAAGCCAAAGAUAACAUGGGAGAUUACAAACUGAAGACAGCCAAGGACUAUGUUGUGCCUGAUCACCUUAGGAUGAAUGUGGAGAAAGCUAGAGGCAGACUCCUUAUCCUGAAAGAUCUAAUACAUGAGCAUAAGUACAAUUUCAAUCUCCGUCUGCUAAAAAUAAGAGACAAGAAGCUUAGUGUGAUUGAGGAAAUCCGAGAACUGGUGGCAAACCUGGAAGAUGUUCAGUCCCACUUGGCGAGAGAUAAACACAAAAAGAUUCCUCCAAUACCCAGAAUGUACCCUGAUGAAAUGCCUGAAAAGAAACUUGAAUACACCCGGGAUACUCUUUUAGCCUUUAAAAAAGAAAUGGAAAUGAAGGAAAAAGAGGCCAAAGGUGGAGGAGGAGGUGGUUUCGGUGGCUUUGGAGGAUUUGGGAAUACUGACACAGCAAAGGACAAGGGAGGAUCACCUACACCAAAACCUAGUACUAUAAUGAGUGAAUCUAAGGGCGGGGAGGGUGAGGAAUUGAUUGAAUUUGAUACCUCACCACUAGAAAUGGAGAUGAAGGAAGCCAUGGAAAUUAAAUUGAUUUAUGAUCAAGACCGGCUUCUAAAGAGAAUUGAGGAGUUGCUAUUGAAUUUCGAUGCUGAGCUGCGGUUGUUAAGACAUGACAAGUUCAAGCUGGAUAUUGUGAUGAAGAAUGCCGACCUGAGACAGGUAACACUGUUUGAGGAGUUUGUGUUGCUGAAGGAGUAUGAGAAGAGAGAGGAUGUAAUGGAGGCCAAGGUGACAGGAAAACAACAGGAGAAGCUGGAGAUGCAGGCUAAGAUAAUUGAGUUGCAAGGAAAGCAGGAUUUGAAGAAGAAAGAGAUUGAGAAGCUACAGGAGAAAGAGAAGCAGUUGUAUGCUCAGUUCCAGGCCUCGCUGGGAGACAACAAUAAGUUUGCUGAUUAUUUGACCAAAGUUUUCAAAAAGAAAAUCAAGAGAGCCAAAAAGAAGGUCACAGAUGGAGAGGGUUCUGAUGAGGACAGUGAUGAAGAUUCUGAUGAUGAGUCUGACUGGGAUGAAGAUGAUGAAGAGUCUGAGGAGGAAGGAGGCUAUGACCUUGACAUUUGUCCACCAGGAUGUGAUCAGAACAUCUAUGAUAAUACAUGUCAACUGAGAGAAAAGAAGCUGGACAUUGAGGAGGCCCUCCAGGAGGAGAAGAAGAACAACGAUGGUUUGAAGAAAGACAUAGAGAGCAACAACAAGAAACUUAAAGUGGUGGACAGUGCACUCAAGGCUGCUCAAAAUGAGCUGGAGGCUUUCCAGCUAGAGAAGCAGCAGAAAUUGAACGAGUUGGAUGUGGUGGUGACACUGAAGCUCCACCAGAUUCAGUACAUGAUCAAUGGCGUCCUCCCCCAGGACCUGUCCCAGACCCUAGUGUUCGAGUCCCACGGGGUCACCCGCCUACAACAGAGAAUCAAGGAACUGGAGCAUGAGAAGCACAUGCAGAAGAAACACAUGAAGGAAUCGAGGAGAAAGCAUGUGCAGCUCAUUAAGGACAGGAAAGUGUUCGACAGCAAGAUUUCAGAAAUGGAGGAACGCACCAAUGAAAUGAUGAUUGCUAAGUUCGGAAGAAUUGUGGAUCUAGAAAAGUUAGAAACAAUUACUGUGAAUAGGCAGAUUGAGGAGUUAAAAGAAAAGUUACGCCUUACAGAAAUUCAGUGUGCAGAGGAAUUAGUGGAGUGGGAUGAUAAGAUUGCAGAAAAGAAAGCCAAAAUCACAGCACUUAUUCGUGAUAAUACAAACAGACUUGAUCAAUUAUGUAUAUUGCUGAAUGAAAAGAAAUCGUUCGAGGGAGAACUGGACUCGAGACAAAAGAGCUCUGGUCAGGAGUUUACAGGAGCUAGGAAGGCUGACGUCAGAGAGAGACAGAGGCUGAUACAGCUGGUGCAGCUUCAGGCCCAGGAGAUAGACGCCCUCAAGGAGGAGAUCAUGUUGCUGUCCAGAAAGGGGGGACACAUUCUGCCCCCUGCCCAGCCACCACUACCCCAGAGUCCCCCCAACAUGAGGCCAAUCAGCAACUGAGUCAAGGCUGAAUUUAUCUGAAGAACCAGUCUUUUUAAUGACAUGCUUGCACUUCGUCCCUUGCAAAUACUUGAUCCAUUAUUUACUUUUAAUGUUAAAUGUAUGAUCUUGUGAAUCCGCAUACAAGAAUGUGAUAUAUUAUUUAUUCACAUAUUCCGUCCUUACAUUUACAAACUGGAAGACAAUGAUAUAGAAGUUUGUAAUCUGUGAUAGCCUUUCAUUAUUGAACAUUUGUUAUUUUAUUAUGAGAAUCUUAAGUCUGGAAAUACAUUUUCCAAGUGUGCUUGAUUUAUUGAAUAAAUAAGUCACAUCACUUU
rnacentral:misc_RNA from 1 species